rnacentral:antisense_RNA from 1 species
GUAGGGUCUCAGGGCGACCCCAGCAGCCUGGAAACGAGGCGGGCUUCCCAUAUGUCACUUCUAAGUAGGAUAUUGGAGGAAUGAAGAGGUCUAAAUGACACGUUAAAGGUCCAAGCCCACCCGUGGAUCAGAACUUACCGGAGGCCACGGAGGCUGUUACCGCUAGGAAACUCUAGUCCUGGCGGAAGACCAACUUCUAGCCCAUCCCCUUACCCUGGCUCUAGUCCACUAGCUCCUUCCUAGUCACAACCGAACUCACGGGGCGGAGGCCCUUAAGGAGCACUCGCCUCCUUCAAUCGCCGACUAGAAGCUCGCCCGGUGGGCGGAGCCGUGCCGGCUCGGGGCAGAGCGAGGAGGCAGAAGUCUCCGCCUUCCUCAAGCUUGGUUGAGAAGUCCGCCUGCAGUUGCAAAGUACGGCUGUUUGAAAGCGGGCGCCAGAGGUGGCGGGAAGCUCCCCCUGUGCGCCCAUUGGUGGAUUCGAGAGCCAAUUACGAGGAAGUUACCCCGGAGUGGGCGGGCUGAUCGGUUGCCUAGAGACGCCGAGGCGCUUCACCCGCUACCUUCGGCCAGGGUGCAGCAGUCUUACGGGGACCCCUUGCCCGUUUGGUACCGGAGACUGCAAAGGUGACUCGUGCCUCCUGCGCUUCAGCACACAGAAUCCCGCAGAUUCCCCACCGAACUCUUGCCUUAGAGGUUUUUUACAUUUGCCCUUGUUUUCUAAGGCGCCUGCUUCCCCAUUAUUUAACAGCCUUAGAUAUUUUGCUUU